rnacentral:rRNA from 1 species
GACGAACGCUGGCGGCGUGCUUAACACAUGCAAGUCGAACGGAAAGGCCCUGCUUUUGUGGGGUGCUCGAGUGGCGAACGGGUGAGUAACACGUGAGUAACCUGCCCUUGACUUUGGGAUAACUUCAGGAAACUGGGGCUAAUACCGUAUAGGAGCUCCUGCUGCAUGGAGGGGGUUGGAAAGUUUCGGCGGUUGUGGAUGGACGCGCGGCUUAUCAGCUUGUUGGUGGGGUAGUGGCUUACCAAGGCUUUGACGGGUAGCCGGCCUGGGAGGGUGACCGGCCACAUUGGGACUGAGAUACGGCCCAGACUGCUACGGGAGGCAGAAGUGGGGAAUAUUGCACAAUGGGCGGAAGCCUGAUGCAGCAACGCCGCGUGCGUGAUGACGGCCUUCGGGUUGUAAACCGCUUUCGCCUGUGACGCAGCGUGAGUGACGGUAAUGGGUAAAGAAGCACCGGCUAACUACGUG